AGCCAGUCCAAGUUUGCUGAUCUGCUCUGGUUGUAGGAAGCUGCUGGGGACAACUCUGAAGUCCUGGAUGCUCAGGCAGGCUCCGUGGAUGAAGAGAACGGACGGCAGCUUGGAGAGAUAGAGCUGCAGUGUGGAAUUUGUACAAAGUGGUUCACCGCAGACACGUUCGGCAUUGACACCACAUCGUGUCUGCCUUUCAUGACCAACUACAGCUUCCAUUGCAAUGUUUGCCAUCACAGUGGGAACACCUAUUUCUUACGAAAACAAGCGAAUCUCAAGGAGAUGUGCCUUAGUGCCCUGGCCAACUUAACGUGGCAGUCGAGGACCCAAGAUGAGCACCCAAAGACUAUGUUCUCAAAAGAUAAGGACAUUAUCCCAUUUAUUGAUAAAUACUGGGAGUGUAUGACAACACGACAGAGACCUGGGAAAAUGACUUGGCCUAAUAAUAUCGUCAAAACUAUGUGUAAAGAAAGAGAUGUGUUCCUGGUGAAAGAACAUCCAGACCCAGGGAGUAAGGACCCAGAAGAAGAUUACCCCAAGUUUGGACUUCUAGACCAAGAUCUUGCCAAUAUUGGUCCUGCAUAUGAUAACCAGAAACAGAACAAUGCUGUAUCCACCAGUGGAAGCUUAAAUGGGGGAAUUGCUGCGGGAGGCAGUGGGAAGGGACGAGGAGCGAAGCGCAAGCAGCAGGACGGAGGGACCACGGGAACAGCCAAGAAAACCAGAAGUGACCCGUUGUUUUCCGCUCAGCGCUUACCACCCCACGGUUAUCCUUUGGAACAUCCCUUUAAUAAAGAUGGAUAUCGUUACAUCUUGGCUGAGCCGGACCCCCACGCACCCGACCCAGAGAAGCUGGAGCUAGACUGUUGGGCAGGAAAACCUAUUCCUGGAGACCUCUACAGAGCCUGCCUGUAUGAACGCGUCCUCCUAGCACUGCAUGACCGAGCGCCUCAGUUAAAGAUUUCCGAUGACAGGCUGACUGUUAUCGGCGAGAAGGGCUAUUCAAUGGUACGAGCCUCGCAUGGAGUGCGGAAAGGAGCGUGGUACUUUGAAAUAUCCAUGGAUGAGAUGCCUCCAGACACAGCUGCCAGACUAGGCUGGUCACAGCCGUUAGGGAACCUCCAGGCGCCUCUGGGAUAUGACAAGUUCAGUUACUCCUGGCGCAGCAAAAAGGGAACAAAGUUUCACCAGUCGAUAGGGAAACACUAUUCAUCUGGCUAUGGACAGGGUGAUAUACUGGGAUUUUACAUCAGUCUUCCAGAAGAUACUGAGACAGCCAAAUCACUGCCUGACACUUACAAAGAUAAGGUGAGGUGUGGAGUUCACUAUCGGAUUAAGCGUUGGCUAGGAGGACAAGUGGAAACCAGGUUGCUCUAGCCUCACUUUUACCCCCUUUGAGUGUGUCCUUUCCACCUGACCUCUGGGGUUCGCAGCGGGCAGGUCCAAAGCAUUGAUCUCAAGAAAACAAAAUGCCCAGAACCACCCAGAGGUUUUGCAAGGGAAGACUCUGCAUGGACAGCUGAAGGAGGGUGCCCACAUCUCCUUUCAUCUUCUCUUCCCCUCCUGGUUCUCAAACAUUUGAGAUGUGUGAAUCGCUCUUCACGGGUACUCUGACACACCAGGCACGCCUGUCCCAGAGCAGGGCUCCUGCUUUGAUCAAAUUCAAAAGCUACUUGUACUUUGAAGAGAAGGACUUUGUGGACAAAGCAGAGAAGAGCCUAAAGCAAGCACCCGGAAG